GACAUGGCUCAGGAUGAACGCUAGCUACAGGCUUAACACAUGCAAGUCGAGGGGAAACGAUAUUGGAAGCUUGCUUCCGAUAGGCGUCGACCGGCGCACGGGUGAGUAACGCGUAUCCAACCUGCCCACCACUUGGGGAUAACCUUGCGAAAGUAAGACUAAUACCCAAUGAUAUCUCUAGAAGACAUCUGAAAGAGAUUAAAGAUUUAUCGGUGAUGGAUGGGGAUGCGUCUGAUUAG
rnacentral:rRNA from 1 species